ensembl:lncRNA
UUUUUUUUUUUUUUUUUUUUUUUUUUUUUGGCCUCUUAGGGCUUCACCUGUGACAUAUGGAGGUUCCCAGGCUAGGGUUGAAUCAGGGCUGCAGCUGCCAGCCUACACCACAGCCACAGCAACACAGGAACCGAGCCACAUCUGCAACCUACACCACAGCUCACGGCAACAUCAGACCCUUAACCCACUGAGCAGGGCCAGGGAUUGAACCCGAAUCUUCAUGGAUACUAGUUGGGUUUAUUACCACAGAGCCGCAACAGGAACUCCUGCUAUUUCUCUUUUAACUUAUUCAUCACGCCAGACUUUCAGGCGGCCUUUUUUGUGCCCAUUAUCCAGACAAGUAAACUGAGUUGCAGACAUUUAGGUAACUGGCAGGAUUACACAGGGGAACAGGGUUCACACUGGAACUCAUGGUUAGAGGACUUCAAAGCUCCUGGCAGCUCCCCCUUCCACCUCUAAACACCCCCACCCCUGCGCCUACCCAAGACAGCAGAAGAUGGGAAAGAGAUAUUCGGGCCAUGGAGGGCGGCUUGCUGAGCGCUGACGGUCGGUCCUCCAACCUCCUGCAGCCAAAACAGGCCCAGAACUGGAUGUGCUGCCUAGAUGAAGCAUUGAACUGAAAGCACAAGUGCUCUAAAUAUGAUGCAAAACUCCCGGACUCCGGAGCUUCCUGAGCAAACUCGAGCUAAGCCCGGCUGCGUUCUAGGCCCUGAGGGCGCCCGCAGCAGGGCUCACCAGCCGUCCGGGCAGGGGCCUGGUUCGCAGACACGGUGGCCCCUGGGGGUGGGAGGCAGCUGAAGGAUCCGAGGGGAGGCAGAGGGGCAGGGCAAGGCCGUUGUUGGGACUGUUCUGGGGGGAAGGCUAUGGAUGGAGAAACCGCUGAGGUGACAUUUUUGAGCCCCACGAUUUGGGGGAGACCGUUUCUCUCAGAGAGGUCCCCUCUGCUCCUUUGGGGCCUGGUUCCUUUGUGGAGGGAUGUGGCUUUGUUCCCUGGGGAGAAAACCGGUUGUGUGUGUGCUGGGGGGUCCUAGGGGCCCCCGGGAGCUGCUUUUUCCUUUGGCUCCCAGGGGGCUGCUCCCCGACUCAGAAGACCUUCUGCCACCAGCCAAAUCCAAGGGGUGUCUGAGGCCCACCAGCCAGCUGAGGAGCCCUUUGCACACCCUGGAGACCUGGGUCCGGACCAGCCUGCGGGUCCGUCCCGGAGACUGUCAGGCAGCCCGCGGCCUGGGCUCCAGGAAAGCUGCCUCCGGCGUCAGGAGGGAGCCUGAGGAAACGCCGAGGGGAGGGCGCUUCCUCUGAGGAGCUGAGGGAGGCCCAGCGGAGGCGGGUGAGAGGCCUUGACCUGAGGGCGGACACGUGGUUGCUUCUGCAGACGGGAGCCUGGACGGCACUGCGCAAAGCCUCGGCUGGCCUCUUCGCCUCCGAUUUUGACGGAUCCCUGGCGGAAGCUCCUGUGCUCUGGCCCCGACUGGAGGUCCAGCAGCGGCUCAGGGGUCAUGGGGUCACGGACGACUCGACAGCUCAAGAAACAAGAACUGAGCCAUCGGGACCAGGGUUCUGCCCUUCAGCAGCUGGUGGCCCCGGGCAAGGUGUCCCAUGUUCUGACCCAGAGUUUCCUCCCUGUGCAAUGGGGUUCCCCCUGCCCCCCUGCCCCCGCCACAAGGAUGCUGCACCUGUGGCAUAUGGAGGUUCCCAGACUAGGGGUUGAAUCAGAGCUGCAGCUGCCAGCCUACACCACAGCCACAGCAAUGCGGGAACCGAGCCACGUCUGCAAUUUGGGAUCAAAUCAGACAGUAAAAGUGAGUCACGGGGAAAUGCGGAUUCUGCACCCCGAGAGAGGCCACACGCCCGACGAAGAAGGGGAGCAACUGGAAAUCUCACACAGGGCUGCUGGUGGGAGUGGAAAACAGUGUCACCGCCUGGGACCCAGUUUGGCCGUCUCUUAAAAAGUGAAACGUCACCAGAGAAGCAUACACGCUGCCUGAUUCCAUUUAACAUUCUAGAAAAUGUGAACCCGUCUCUAGGGACAGAAAGAUCCGUGGUGCCUGGGGAUGGAGGGGGUGGGUGAAGGAGAAGCACAGGGACAUUUUGGUGAUGAUGACUCCCUGGGGGGACCUGGGACAAGCCUUGCAGGCUGUGCAGAAUUUCAGUGGCCAGAGAUAGCUGCGAUUAUAGGGAGAAGGGGACAGGUGCAUGCAGCCGAGAAAGGCGUGUGGGAGGCAGCGAAUAAGCCCAUUUAACAGGAAUCCCAGGAGGGAAGAGGGGGGACGGGGCUGGGCAGGGAGUGGGCGAGAUUGUGAACAGUGGCAGCUCCCCCGUCUCCCCUCUGCCCUUCAGUGCUGCCAGCAUCCCCGGGGGCGUCCUGUGCCCAGACUCGCCGACAGAGCCUGAGCUGAACCCUUAACAAGGGCCGGUUCCUCAGAACAUUCUGGGCCAGGUGGGCUGGCUUCAGGGGCUCUGAGCAGAGGCCUGGGGUCCCAGGUCACCAUGGGAACCCUCCAGGACAUGCACCUGCCUGCAGGUGGCACCCCACCCCCCUCCCCAGGGGCUGGGCCAGCCGUGCAGGGUGCUGGAAUCUCUCGAGCCCUCGAAGGAAUCAGUUCUGCAUCCUGCCGAGGCCCGGGCAAGGACGCCGGAGUCUGCUGCCUGAUCUUCUCCCCACCACCCCUCUUGUCUCCCAGCCUUCCUUCCUCCCGCCUUGCCUGUGUCCUGGCAAAGGGUUUGAGCCAACCCCUCUCCCAGGUCACAGCUGCUGGAGCAUCUCGGAAGUUACCGGGACCCUAUGGAGGCAGCAGCUUCGCCGAGGAGCCGGGCUCCCCCGGGGCUGGGGUCUCCCCCGCUGAAACCUCCCCCAGAGUGAGAGCGUCUGUCAGUGCAGGUGUCGGUGAUGCACACAGGUCACUGGCUCUGUGGCCUGUAAAGCCCACUGCGCAAGGGCGCACGGAGCAGGCAGGGCGGGUGGGGCGGGGGCAACCUUGACCGUGACCUGGACUCAGGAAGGAGCAGCAGGCACUAGGAGGAGGACCUUGGAGCCAAAGAUCGUCUGGGUCCCCAGGGGUCUGCUCCUGCUCCUGGCCCUGCUUGUGGGAGGCUGGCAUGGAGGAAAGAGCCUUCCCAAACGCCGGGCACGAGGCUCAUCUUCACCGCCUCCCGCGUCUUCUCCCACAGCCUCCCGGAGGCUCUGUUCCAAACCCCUGCCAUCCCUCAGUUCUGUCCUUUUGGGGAGCUGGGGUGUGGAAAGGUGAGUCGUUGCACAGGUGGCAGCAAAUGUACAAGAUGAAAGCCAGCUGCAAAUACCAGGAAGGUUCAAAAACGUGGCAUGCAGGGACGAUGCAGGACCUGCCGGGGGCUGGGGGUGGCCCGGGUCUCCCCGAAUUUUGGGGAGCAGGGCAUGGUUCUGGAUGGGUCACCUGGCAGUGUGGUCCUGGGGUGGGCUCAGGGGCAGCACGGAUGUCACUUUGUUGUCUGUACAAGAGGAGGCAGGAGCUGCUAAGAACAGGGAAGGGAGCCAGGAGGGCCCUGGCAGCUCAUCUCCCGCCACUUGGCGUUGACACCAUGGCUUUGUGCUGCCGUGGGCAGAAAACCGCUUGCUUUGGUGGACUUGAAAUAAAGUAAAUUUUUUAAAAACUCUCAUACUGUGUUCAUUUUCUAGGACCACCCUAACAAAGUACCACAAACUGGGUGGCUUAAAAACGACAGAAAUGUAUUGCCUUUCAGUCUGGAGGCCAAAAGUCCAUCACCCUUCACGUUCCUGUGGCUUCUCGCUGUGUGCCUGUCUCUGUGUCCAAGCUUCUCCUUCUUAGACGGACACAGUCAUGCUGGCCUCGUCUUAACUAACGACAUCUGUAAUGACCCUGUCUCCAUCCCGAGGGGCUGGGGCUUAGGAGUUUGUAGGAGUUUGCCAGAGCUGCCCUAAUAAAAUGCCACAGCCAAAACAACAGACAUGCAUGUUCUCACAGUUCCGGGGGCUUGACGUCCGAGAUCAAGGUCACGGGGCUUGUUUCUCCCGAGGCCUCUCUCCCUGGCUUGCAGACACCCCCUUCUCUUUGUCCCCUCAUGUGGCCUGUCCCCUGUACAUGCACAUCCCCGGUGCCUGUGCGUCCUGAUCUCUUUUUAUAAAGACGCCAUGGGGAGUUCCCGUCGUGGCGCAGUGAAAAUGAAUCUGACUAGGAACCAUGAGGUUGCGGGUUCGAUCCCUGGCCUCGCUCAGUGGGUUAACGAUCCGGCGUUGCCGUGAGCUGGGGUGUAGAUUGCAGAUGUGGCUCGAACCUGACAUUGCUGUGGCUGCAGUGUAGGCUGGUGGCUACGGCUCCGAUUCCACCCCUAGACUGGGAACCUCCAUAUGCCACAGUGCAGCCCUAAAAAAAAAAAAAAAAAAGCAAAGAUGCCAUUGAAUAAGGACUCACUGUAACUGCCUCAUUUUAACUGAGUUACCUCUUUAAAGACCCAGCCCCCACAUAGAGUCACAUAUUGAGGUACGAGGGUCAGAGCUUCAACCUAUGAAUUUGGGAGCACAAUUCAGCUGAUAACAGGCUUCCAGAUAUCUUUUGGGGGACACAGUUCAUGACACAGUUCACAUAUGCCAUGUAGCACAGUUUCUUUUUUCCGUGGGCCUCUCUCAUUUUUUAGGGAGACGAGUCCAAGCGGGUCCAGCCAUUGGGGUUUAAUAACAGGCGUCGGUAGGACGUAGACCUGGGAUUGAGCUGCUCUUCUCGAAGGGUCC